AACGCUGGCGGCGUGCCUAACACAUGCAAGUCGAACGCGAAAGUCCCGCAAGGGAUAAGUAGAGUGGCAAACGGGUGAGUAACACGUGGGUGACCUGCCUUCGAGCGGGGGAUAACGUCCCGAAAGGGACGCUAAUACCGCAUAACAUCCUGCCUUUGAAGAGGUGGAGAUCAAAGCCGGGGACCGCAAGGCCUGGCACUUGAAGAGGGGCCCGCGUCUGAUUAGCUAGUUGGUGAGGUAAUGGCUCACCAAGGCAACGAUCAGUAUCCGGCCUGAGAGGGCGGACGGACACACUGGGACUGAGACACGGCCCAGACUCCUACGGGAGGCAGCAGUGGGGAAUUGUUCGCAAUGGGCGCAAGCCUGACGACGCAACGCCGCGUGGAGGAUGAAGACCUUCGGGUCGUAAACUCCUUUCGAUCGAGACGAACGGCUUCCGGGUGAACAAUCCGGGAGAGUGACGGUACCGAGAGAAGAAGCCCCGGCUAACUCCGUGCCAGCAGCCGCGGUAAUACGGGGGGGGCAAGCGUUGUUCGGAAUUACUGGGCGUAAAGGGCUCGUAGGUGGCCAACUAAGUCAGACGUGAAAUCCCUCGGCUUAACCGGGGAACUGCGUCUGAUACUGGAUGGCUUGAGAUUGGGAGAGGGAUGCGGAAUUCCAGGUGUAGCGGUGAAAUGCGUAGAUAUCUGGAGGAACACCGGUGGCGAAGGCGGCAUCCUGGACCAACACUGACGCUGAGGAGCGAAAGCCUAGGGGAGCAAACG
rnacentral:rRNA from 1 species